AAAUAAGAAAUAAUAAUUAAUUAAAUUUAAUUUCGACUUAAACCUAGAGUAUCCACUCCUUAUUUU
rnacentral:tRNA from 1 species